GCGCUGGUGGCUCAGUGGUAGGUUUCUCGCCUACUGUGCGGAAGGCCUGGGUUCGAGUCCCAGCCAGUGCC